rnacentral:misc_RNA from 1 species
UGGUUCUGGCAUCGAUGAAGAACGCAGCGAAAUGCGAUAAGUAAUGUGAAUUGCAGAAUUCAGUGAAUCAUCGAAUCUUUGAACGCACAUUGCGCCCCUUGGUAUUCCGGGGGGCAUGCCUGUUCGAGCGUCAUUACUCUCCUCAAGCGUAGCUUGGUCUUGACCCCCGACCCUCACCCGGUCGCGGUCGAAAGUGAGUGGUGGUCCCGCGCGACUUCGAGUACAGUAAUCUCAUCUUCCUUACUCCGAACGUCGGGCGGCGGUCGGCCAACAACCCCCCAUAUCGUAUCGAAUUGACCUCGGAUCAGGCAGGGAUACCCGCUGA